CCGUGACACAGUGCACUGCGCCGCUGUUGGCCUCAUCUGUGGCUGCGCUGCUCCGUUGAAACACCAACUCAUGCGGCCGCUCCCUAUUUUCUCUGCCCCGCUCGUCGCUGCAUCGCUAUGGAAUUGAAGUUCAACCUUGCUGACACCCUCAAGCGGCUGUUGACGCGAGAGCGCUGCGAGCAGCUGGACCUGGAUGGGUACCUCGUCCUCGAUGAGCAGCCGUUCCCGGCGUCGGUGGCGAAGGAGCUCCUGCACGAAGUGCAAUACUGCUUCGACGGCAUCGACGGCGGCAAGACCCCGAACCAAGUCGAGUUCCUCACAGCAGAUGGGUCGGUGAAACUCACAAAGCCGCACAUCUACGAAUGCGACCUGCACAACGCAGCGGUACGACACCAACUCCCACUUUUCAAUGCCUUCUUUGAGGGCCAGCUCGGGGAGCUGGUGGAGGUGCUGCGGGACCGGUUGAACUGCUGCGAGGAUCUGCAGCCGUGCGACACGGCUGACCUCGCCUCGCGCUCCGUCACGCUGAAACUGCAGGCGAAUGAAGGCGGCGCAUUUCCGUGGCAUUACGACAACCCCGGCAAGCCCAACAAGCGCCGCCUCACGAUGGCGGUCUACCUCACCGAGGACUGGGCCCCGGAAAUCGGUGGGGAGCUGCAGAUGAUGCCGUUCCUCGGCCCCUGCAUCACCGUGCCACCGAAGUUCUGCACCGUUGUGCUGUUCCAAUCGGACAUGAUGCUACACCGAGUGCGGCCCAUCCUCAGCCACAUGCGCAAGACACGAUACUGCUUCACGAUUUGGUUUGACGGGGCCCUCACCAACAGCGACGACGAUCUCUUCCUGAAAGUGCAGCACCUCGACGAAGGCGCCAUCCCCUUUCUGCGCCGCAGCGCCGUUCAGCGAACCCUUUCCCGUGCCGUGUACGAAGCCGAAUACGAGGAGUCCCUCGCAGCCUGCUUCGGCGCAGACUCAGUAGCGCUUGGGAUCAGCCUCCGCGAGCACCACGCGCAUCUGCAGCAGCUGCUCAAACAUGAGAGGCUGCGCGCCUUUCUGAAGGUACUCAAAGAGUACCGCGAAGACCUCCGUGCAGCGUGAACUAGUCUGGCAGGGAGUCGAAUGGCGGUAGUGAAAUCACUCAGACGGGCCACCUCGAAGAGUACCGCGUUGCAGGUCCUCUCUUUGCUGGCUUUCCUUCACCAACCCCCUCUCUGCAUCUUCGCCAUGUGCUACGUGCGGGCGUGCCUGCGUAACGCGCGUGCGCGUGGCUGCGGGUCCCUACCACCGACAAAUACGCGCGCUCGCCGCCAUCGUGCAGCUCAUGCUUGGCCUCUCCGCAUAGACGUUCGAACACGGUUGCGGCAGCUAUGCGCAACUCUAGGGGUGUGUGGUUUGAAGGGGGGAGGUGUGCUGUCGCCGCUCCAAGGCGCUAGAGAGCGAGCGAUGCUGAGCGAGCGGGAGGCGACUUCCGUCAUCGCACGCUGACGCUCUGCCCCCUCCCUCUCCUACCGGCUCGCCCCGAAGCGGGGCGUGGUGCCUUCUCUUUCUUCCGAGGUUCUCUUUCCACUGUCCUUGCCUGGCGUCUCGCCCCGCGGCCGCUGCUCGGAGGGCGCCAUCCCUCCGCGCGCACACGCGCCCACGCACAAGUGAGGUCGUCCUUCGGCGCGCUUUGCAUCCCGCUCCGCCUCGCUCGCCCGCUGCAUCGCCAUGCUCUCGCUUCUCUCUGGUCUGGCGUCUCUCCGCUGACGGGUAAGAAGGGCACCGCUCGCGCCGUGCCUCGCUGUCUGCGCGUGUGCGUCUAUGUGGGUUAGCCGGUGUGUGUGUGUGUAUGUGUGUGUGUGCGUGUGCGUGUGUGUCGCGAAGGCGUAAAACUCGACCUGUGCACAAAACAGAAAGGCGUGCCCUCGACCGACCCUGUCGCCGCUUCAUGCGCAUGCUUUUGUGUGGCGGCACACAUGGCGCGCUACGGCACGGGCUCGGGUGCGUCUCUGAGGCAGCCGGUGCGCGUCCAGUGAGCCGCUCUUCUCAGCCGGGCGCGUGUUUGCGCAUACCCAGCAGAGAACCAAGGUUGCCUUCCCGACUCGUGGCAUCCCGUCCCCUCAUGGACUGCCUUGUGCUCUGGCCCGACUGAAGUCUGUGUGGUGACCGUGAUGCGUUGGGCACGAAAAGGCGCCAUCCCUCCUUCGCACCACCUCGCUCAGCUGCUUCUCCUCCUACACGGCACCUCCGCCGAUGAGCACAG
rnacentral:misc_RNA from 1 species